rnacentral:rRNA from 1 species
GCCUCCUGCCGCGGUGCUUCCGCCUCCUGCUGUGGUGUUAGACCUGUUGCCAUUUAUAAGCUCGUAGUUGAAUUUCUGCUGUUUCGAUGACUGCCUUUGGCGUUUGUCAUCAUCGCGGGUUGGUAGGGUUUCAAUUAUUCUUUUCCCCGCCUUUACUUUGAGAAAAUUAGAGUGCUUGAAGCAGGCUUUUGCCUUGAAUACUUUAGCAUGGAAUAACGGAUUACGACUUUGGUUCUAUUUUGUUGGUUUUAGGAGCCGAAAUAAUGGUUCAUAGGAACAGUUGGGGGCAUUCAUAUUUGACUGUCAGAGGUGAAAUUCUUAGA